rnacentral:lncRNA from 1 species
UUACAGCAGUAGAGAUGCAAAGGAGGAAGGACAAAUGAGAUUUAAUCCCUGGAUAUGUGUGAGAAGUAGGGAAGAAAGAGUGCCAUAGAUGAGUAACAUAUCUCUGGAUGUGAUAAUAAGUCGGGAAAGCUGAACCCGGGAGGCGGAGCUUGCAGUGAGCCGAGAUAGUGCCACUGCAGUCCGGCCUGGGCGAAAGAGCGAGACUCGGCCUCA